CGGGAAAUGAGUGGCGCCGUUAGCCACAUAAUAAGCUGUAGGCGCGUUGGCAUCAAAGGGAAUCUCCAGAGCUAGGCAUUCCUGACACCAGCAGCAAAUGCAGCACUCAAAUACAGCUCCAUUUUGCCACUGGAGGAAAACAAUUAAUCUCAAGAUUCAUGAAGGACACCUAAAGAGGCAGUUAGUUGCCUAAGUCCAACAUUUAGGUACCACAAAGACAUCACUCAGCUUCUGCCUAACACUGUAGGUGCCCACGUUUCCACUGGUGGACAUGCGUAAAACCAACGAACUCUGAUGAUGCCACACAGCUAACUAGCUGUUCAGAGCUCUCGCUCAUACCUUAGUCCCCGCAGGAUUCUCAGACCUGGCGUUCUCCCACCUAUCUCAUGUGUGUUGUACUCAGAGCAUACCCAACCACACAAAAGACAGCUGGAAGCAAGAAGGUCGGGAAGGAGAAUGUGUCCAUCCCUAGUCCAUCCAGUAACCAAGGCACUCAUCUGAAACAUGGGAGAUCCAGUUUUGAAUUCCUAUUCAACCUGAUUUGGAG